AGCUAGGUGGCACAGUGAGUAGAGCACCAGCCCCAAAAUCAGGAGGACCUGAGUUCAAAUCUGCCUAGCUG
rnacentral:tRNA from 1 species